rnacentral:lncRNA from 1 species
UACCCUCUGAUAUUGGUUUAUAUACAUUUCAGGUAUAAACUUUAAAAUGAUAACGGUUCUCAAGAUAUAGAGCGGACACAAUCUUUACCAUAGGACAUGGGGUUGUCAAAUGAAACCAAAGUUUUUGACCUUGAAUUUUGCCCUAGGCAGUCGUUCAUAAAUUAUGACACACCCUCUGGUGUUGGUUCAUAUACAUGUCAAGUAUAAACUUUGAAAUCAUAACGGUUCUCAAGAUAUAGAGCGGACACGAUCUUCACCACAG